GAUGCUCAGUUGAGCAGCAUACACUGAAGUUGGAACAGGACAGAGGAGAGUAGUGUGGGCUUUGUACAAGGAUGACAUGCAAAUGUGUGAAGUUGUCCCUGGCUUU
rnacentral:snRNA from 1 species